AAAAAGUCAAAUCCUGGGUUUUCGUAUCCAACUUUGACUGUCCGUUUUAUAUGAAUUUUUUUUAUAAUUCGUAUUUUCAUUGUUGUUUGAUGAUAAACAUGAUUAAUAUUUUAUGCGUGACUUGUCUUUUAAAUUUUUUCAUAAUUUUUUCAAAUAAGACGGACGGUUAAACGUUGAACACGGAAACCAGGGUUUGUCUUUUU
rnacentral:pre_miRNA from 1 species